UACGUAGGGGGCAAGCGUUGUCCGGAUUUAUUGGGCGUAAAGAGCGUGUAGGCGGCCAAGUAAGUCUGCUGUGAAAACUCGAGGCUUAACCUCGAGCUGUCGGCGGAAACUAUUUGGCUAGAGUGCGGGAGAGGAGAGUGGAAUUCCCGGUGUAGCGGUGAAAUGCGCAGAUAUCGGGAAGAACACCCGUGGCGAAGGCGGCUCUCUGGAACGGUACUGACGCUGAGACGCGAAAGCGUGGGGAGCGAACAGG
rnacentral:rRNA from 1 species